rnacentral:rRNA from 1 species
AUUGAACGCUGGCGGCAGGCCUAACACAUGCAAGUCGAGCGGAUGAAGGGAGCUUGCUCCUGGAUUCAGCGGCGGACGGGUGAGUAAUGCCUAGGAAUCUGCCUGGUAGUGGGGGAUAACGUCCGGAAACGGGCGCUAAUACCGCAUACGUCCUGAGGGAGAAAGUGGGGGAUCUUCGGACCUCACGCUAUCAGAUGAGCCUAGGUGGGAUUAGCUAGUUGGUGGGGUAAAGGCCUACCAAGGCGACGAUCCGUAACUGGUCUGAGAGGAUGAUCAGUCACACUGGAACUGAGACACGGUCCAGACUCCUACGGGAGGCAGCAGUGGGGAAUAUUGGACAAUGGGCGAAAGCCUGAUCCAGCCAUGCCGCGUGUGUGAAGAGGUCUUCGGAUUGUAAAGCACUUUAAGUUGGGAGGAAGGGCAGUAAGUUAAUACCUUGCUGUUUUGACGUUACCAACAGAAUAAGCACCGGCUAACUUCGUG